rnacentral:rRNA from 1 species
UGAACGCUAGCGGUAUGCCUAACACAUGCAAGUCGUACGAGAGUUUUUAACUCUAGUGGCGGACGGGUGAGUAACACGUGAGAAUUUGCCUUUAGGAGGGGGACAACAACUGGAAACGGUUGCUAAUACCCCAUAUGCUUUCGAGUGAAACGGUUUUUCCGCCUAAAGAGAAGCUUGCGGCUGAUUAGCUUGUUGGUAAGGUAAUGGCUUACCAAGGCGACGAUCAGUAUCUGGUUUGAGAGGACGAUCAGACACACUGGAACUGAGACACGGUCCAGACUCCUACGGGAGGCAGCAGUGGGGAAUUUUCCGCAAUGGGCGAAAGCCUGACGGAGCAAUACCGCGUGAGGGAAGACUGCCUAUGGGUUGUAAACCUCUUUUUUCAGGGAGGAAUAAAAUGACGUGUACCUGAAGAAUAAGCAUCGGCUAACUCC